UACGGAGGGAGCUAGCGUUGUUCGGAAUUACUGGGCGUAAAGCGCGCGUAGGCGGCUUUGUAAGUUAGAGGUGAAAGCCCGGGGCUCAACCCCGGAACAGCCUUUAAGACUGCAUCGCUAGAAUCCGGGAGAGGUGAGUGGAAUUCCGAGUGUAGAGGUGAAAUACGUAGAGAUUGGGAAGAACACCAGUGGCGAAGGCGGCUAUCUGGACGGUUUCUGACGCUAAGACGCGAAAGCGUGGGGAGCAAACAGG
rnacentral:rRNA from 1 species